CGCAGCCCCCUCACGUUCAGUCCCUGCCUCCCCCGUGGCAGGAACUGGCCAGCCGGCUGCCACAGCACCGCCUGUAGCCCGCGGGCGCCGCCGUCCCCCUCCCGUGGGACCCUGGGGAUGGGAAAAAAAAAAAAAAUCGCGCCACAGACACCG